UGGGUAACCUACCCCCGGGCGGGGGAUAACGUUCCGAAAGGAGCGCUAAUACCGCAUGAGACCACGGCCUGAAACGGCUGAGGUCAAAGCAGGCCUCUGCAUGCAAGCUUGCACCUGGGGAUGGGCCCGCGGCCCAUCAGGUAGUUGGCAGGGUAACGGCCUACCAAGCCUAAGACGGGUAGCUGGUCUGAGAGGAUGAUCAGCCACACUGGAACUGAGACACGGUCCAGACUCCUACGGGAGGCAGCAGUGGGGAAUCUUGCGCAAUGGGCGAAAGCCUGACGCAGCGACGCCGCGUGAGUGAUGAAGGCCCUAGGGUUGUAAAGCUCUGUGGAGAGGGACGAAUAAGCGCCGACGAAUAGCCGGCGUGAUGACGGUACCUUUUUAGCAAGCACCGGCUAACUCUGUGCCAGCAGCCGCGGUAA
rnacentral:rRNA from 1 species